GAUAGUGUUUCUGACUCAGCAAAGCAUCCCGGAAUAGAAAAAACUGCCGUUGCUGAGACGACGCAAAGGUUUCGUCGACGAGGGCCGAUUUUGCGUGGCGGGUUUGACGCGAGCGGCGGAUUGUUUGGAAGCGAGGCACGCGGGCAGUGUGGCCUCUGAAGUAUGUAAGCUGCUUCUCGUGCCAUGGAUAUUCUCUCCGAGGUGCCUUCAGGGCGUCUCAGUUUCUUGUAGCCGUGGGGGUUUGAGCGAUGGUGCUGGCUCAACUCUCGCAGCGUGCUCGAAGAUUUUUAAGAAGCGGUUGUGUCCGGUUUUGCUUCGGCUUAACAACUGGCACGACGUGUUUCUCACUGUUAGGCUAGUGGAUCUGGCCUUACCUGUGAACACGCAGUUAAGAUGUGACGCUGUUUCGCAUCGCUGAGCGCGGCUACGAACGAAACUUUUAUUUCGAGUUUCGCUGUGUUUUCCCGUCCUUUUUUGACUUCGGCAAGGCGAUUCGAACGCAGUUAUUGUCUGGCUCUAGUUAAGCAGUGUUGUUGCAUUGCAGAGAGGACAUCGAUUCCAAAUGUUGUUGGCUUCACUGUGGCCAUCGUGGAACUGAGUUCACAGGCAGAUUUUUGUGUGGCUAGACCCUGCCCUUAUGGGUGCGCUUACGGGGCGGGUCUCAGUUGAAAUAAAAAAGUGAUUGCGUGGUGUAGAGAGGAUUUAUUCUCUCGCUGGUCCGUCUAGUCGGUCGAAUAUCGUUCCAGUUGCUAACCUUUGUGGGAUGUGUUGAUCUGCAUAGUAUGCAACUUCGUCCCGUGUGUACUGGUUGUGGAUGUGCCUGAACAAUCGCCUCAGAUAAGACUGGGAUUAACGUAAAGGAUGUAUCUGCCAUCGUGGACGUGAUGCUCGGUCACGGGGUUCUGUCCACUCUGGGUGUGUCUGUGACGGAGGGUGCGCGAUGAGAGUGUUUGCACUGUGAAUCAACGCAGCGCUAAUCCGUAAACGCAAAUAAAUUGAAGUGAAUCUUGGAAUUUGCUGGGGCACUGGAGAGGUUGUAUUCGUAAUCCUCUUGUGUGAAGUGUCGAUGUAUCUCUCCACAGUCCGAUCGGGAAACACGAGUCGUUGUGAACCAUGCCUCACAUACUUAGAGGUGUUGCUCCACAUUCUCUUCGACCAACCAAAUUCAGAGUGGGAGGAUUUUGCACACAGUCGCACAGAGGCGACCCCCUGAUGAGUCACUUGCUUCGCGCCUAUAUCGACUUCUCUUCGUCUACCUUUGAGGUACUUGUACCUUCUCUCCAAUUUGUGACACAAGGAGUGAUGCGUUAUGCUACGAAUGGUUUUACUUGAGCCUGAGCUCUGCACCUCUUUUGUUCCAUCUCUCUUUCACUCUUUCAUCUUGACACCCUGUACUACCUAAAACUGUUAGUCAAGCCCCCUUCAUUUUCUUACAGAUUCUAAGAUCAUUUUAGCCGUAACCCUCUCUUUCUAGUGUGCCUCACUACCAAAGAAAAAUUUACUUUUGAGAGAUUUCUAGCAGUAUCACUAGCAGAAGUAUCUCUGCUGCUUUCUCAGAACACUAGUUUCCCAGGCUAGUCACAGUCAGUACUGGGCUCUCCAGUUAGAGUUACAUUAGGAUAUCAGGGUUAAGAUGCUUGCGCAUGGCCCUACACAGUCUUACGUAUCAACACGGAUCCCGUGUACAUUUUCACUUAUUUUCACUUCGGUAGUAUCAUUCCAUUUGAGUGGACGAAUUACUUUUCAUGUUGUCAAGGCACGAAUUUGGACAUGUGCAUGUGAUGUUUCAUCGAGUAUUUAGUAAGUUCUGAUUGCGCACAGACUCGACGUCUGGAAAGUAUGUCUGCAGAAUAAUAAUAACUGCUGUUGAUAGUGUUCAAGCUGAGAAUCAUGUGACUCUAGUCUUGUGCUACAUAUGAGACAUAGUAAAGUCAGUCAUGGUUGAUCAAGUAUGUGCAGUUUGUGCAUCACAGCUUUUGCUGGAUACCGCUCGCGGUGUCGCUGUGACGAGGAAUUGAAGGAAACUGAAACACAGCGGAAGAUAUAACUUCGGAUUGAAGGAGGUGAAGUGGUGGACUGGUGUAGGUCGCUAAGCUUGUGGACAUGCCAUGUAGCGUGUAUAUCUUACUGGAAUGUUUUUCUAUUAACGCUUAUGUCGUACUUUGUUGUAUGGAAUUUAGUUCCGUGUGCUACUAUUGCGCGCUCUGUCUUCUGUUUAUUUAUGACACUUCAUUCUUUCAUUGCGUUCCUGUAGUUAACGUCUCAGGUAUGUUGUCAUCUCUUACAUUUUUUUAAAAAAAAUCAGCAUCGGCAGGCUUUGGUCAAGAUUCACAAGAAGCACUUUGGUGAAGAUACACCGAACUAACGUCGAGAUUGUUUCAAGUGUCCUAGAUCCUGAAGGGUUGUGACUGUUCACACGAAAGGCUUUUGCGAUUUCUUAUUGGAUGAACUGAUGACUAGCUGUUUCCGAUUCUAGUAGCAUCUUUCAAGGUUGCAGACCAUGAAGUGCAGUCGCACAGCUUACAUCUCUGUUGAAAGGCAGCAGUAAUCACUUCAAUCGUGACGUGAUUGGAAGGGUUCAACUCCCUUGAUAGAAGACGCUGGGGACGCAUGCAGUAGGUGGAUAUUAAAAUCGAUUCUGUUACAGUUGAGUGAAAAAGUUGGUCAAAGCACCAUCCUUUGACAAAUCACUCCGAAGUGAUUAUCCUUCUGACCAGCUUUGCCAAGACUUUUUUGACUCUUCGUCCUUGACAGCUUCGUAUUUGCAACUAUCAUCUUUGAUGGCCCCUCUGCAAUUUCCAACUCCUUGCUGCCUACUACAAGCCUCAGGGAUGCGACCUAACAGCUCAAGUUUAAGGUCAGUGUAGACGGGGAGGUUAAUGAUGCAAUCCUGACUUGAAAGUUAUGAGAAAAUACAUGAGCACAAAAUGCUUAAUUAUUUCAUACAUGAAGAUUUAGCCAAAGUUGUUAAUUUUAUGCAGUUUAUGAACUAAAACCAAAUGCAAUUUUUAGUAUCAACUUGUAAGUUUCGAUUAUUGUUGAACAUUUCGGUUACGGUUACUGAACGCAGAGAGUGCAUUAGUACGUUUUAUUUUUGUUGUCGAUAAAAUCUGUAAAUUGUACUUUUGUCAUUUGA